rnacentral:rRNA from 1 species
GACGAACGCUGGCGGCGUGCUUAACACAUGCAAGUCGAACGGAAAGGCCCUGCUUUUGUGGGGUGCUCGAGUGGCGAACGGGUGAGUAACACGUGAGUAACCUGCCCUUGACUUUGGAAUAACUUCAGGAAACUGGGGCUAAUACCGGAUAGGAGCUCCUGCUGCAUGGUGGGGGUUGGAAAGUUUCGGCGGUUGGGGAUGGACUCGCGGCUUAUCAGCUUGUUGGUGGGGUAGUGGCUUACCAAGGCUUUGACGGGUAGCCGGCCUGAGAGGGUGACCGGCCACAUUGGGACUGAGAUACGGCCCAGACUCCUACGGGAGGCAGCAGUGGGGAAUAUUGCACAAUGGGCGGAAGCCUGAUGCAGCAACGCCGCGUGCGGGAUGACGGCCUUCGGGUUGUAACCGCUUUCGCCUGUGACGAAGCGUGAGUGACGGUAAUGGGUAAAGAAGCACCGGCUAACUACGUG